UUCCGGUUGAUCCUGCCGGACCCGACUGCUAUCAGAGUGGGACUAAGCCAUGCGAGUCAACAUAGCAAUAUGUGGCAUACGGCUCAGUAACACGUAGUCAACAUGCCCAGGGGACGUGGAUAACCUCGGGAAACUGAGGAUAAACCGCGAUAAGUCACUACUUCUGGAAUGGGUAAUGACUCAAAUCUAUAUGGCCCCUGGAUUGGACUGCGGCCGAUCAGGCUGUUGGUGAGGUAAUGGCCCACCAAACCUGUAACCGGUACGGGCUCUGAGAGGAGGAGCCCGGAGAUGGGCACUGAGACAAGGGCCCAGGCCCUAUGGGGCGCAGCAGGCGCGAAACCUCUGCAAUAGGCGAAAGCCUGACAGGGUUACUCUGAGUGAUUUCCGUUAAGGAGAUCUUUUGGCACCUCUAAAAAUGGUGCAGAAUAAGGGGUGGGCAAGUCUGGUGUCAGCCGCCGCGGUAAUACCAGCACCCCGAGUGGUCGGGACGUUUAUUGGGCCUAAAGCAUCCGUAGCCGGUUCUACAAGUCUUCCGUUAAAUCCACCUGCUUAACAGAUGGGCUGCGGAAGAUACUAUAGAGCUAGGAGGCGGGAGAGGCAAGCGGUACUCGAUGGGUAGGGGUAAAAUCCGUUGAUCCAUUGAAGACCACCAGUGGCGAAGGCGGCUUGCCAGAACGCGCUCGACGGUGAGGGAUGGAAGCUGGGGGAGCAAACCGGAUUAGAUACCCGGGUAGUCCCAG
rnacentral:rRNA from 1 species